rnacentral:rRNA from 1 species
AUUGAACGCUGGCGGCAGGCUUAACACAUGCAAGUCGAGCGGAGAGAGGUAGCUUGCUACUGAUCUUAGCGGCGGACGGGUGAGUAAUGCUUAGGAAUCUGCCUAUUAGUGGGGGACAACAUUUCGAAAGGAAUGCUAAUACCGCAUACGUCCUACGGGAGAAAGCAGGGGAUCUUCGGACCUUGCGCUAAUAGAUGAGCCUAAGUCGGAUUAGCUAGUUGGUGGGGUAAAGGCCUACCAAGGCGACGAUCUGUAGCGGGUCUGAGAGGAUGAUCCGCCACACUGGGACUGAGACACGGCCCAGACUCCUACGGGGGGCAGCAGUGGGGAAUAUUGGACAAUGGGCGGAAGCCUGAUCCAGCCAUGCCGCGUGUGGGAAGAAGGCCUUAUGGUUGUAAAGCACUUUAAGCGAGGAGGAGGCUACUUUAGUUAAUACCUAGGGAUAGUGGACGUUACUCGCAGAAUAAGCACCGGCUAACUCUGUGCCAGCAGCCGCCGUAACAC